CAAACUGGAGAUGGCGACCGGCGCACGGGUGAGUAACACGUAUCCAACCUGCCGAUAACUCGGGGGAUAGCCUUUCGAAAAGAAAGAUUAAUACCCGAUGGCAUAAUAGAACCGCAUGGUUUGAUUAUUAAAGAAUUUCGGUUAUCGAUGGGGAUGCGUUCCAUUAGGCAGUUGGUGGGGUAACGGCCCACCAAACCUUCGAUGGAUAGGGGUUCUGAGAGGAAGGUCCCCCACAUUGGAACUGAGACACGGUCCAAACUCCUACGGGAGGCAGCAUG
rnacentral:rRNA from 1 species